rnacentral:rRNA from 1 species
UAGGGAAUCUUCCACAAUGGACGCAAGUCUGAUGGAGCAACGCCGCGUGAGUGAAGAAGGUCUUCGGAUCGUAAAGCUCUGUUGUUGGUGAAGAAGGAUAGAGGCAGUAACUGGUCUUUAUUUGACGGUAAUCAACCAGAAAGUCACGGCUAACUACGUGCCAGCAGCCGCGGUAAUACGUAGGUGGCAAGCGUUGCCCGGAUUUAUUGGGCGUAAAGCGAGCGCAGGCGGAAUGAUAAGUCUGAUGUGAAAGCCCACGGCUCAACCGUGGAACUGCAUCGGAAACUGUCAUUCUUGAGUGCAGAAGAGGAGAGUGGAACUCCAUGUGUAGCGGUGGAAUGCGUAGAUAUAUGGAAGAACACCAGUGGCGAAGGCGGCUCUCUGGUCUGCAACUGACGCUGAGGCUCGAAAGCAUGGGUAGCGAACAGGAUUAGAUACCCUGGUAGUCCAUGCCGUAAACGAUGAGCGCUAGGUGUUGGGGACUUUCCGGUCCUCAGUGCCGCAGCAAACGCAUUAAGCGCUCCGCCUGGGGAGUACGACCGCAAGGUUGAAACG